ACAUCUCAGACAGACCUGGAGCAGUAAUGUUUGCUGCUGAGGUUUCCUCUAUAGAUGCAAGAAAAAUGUCCUCAGGCUUUCUGUCUAUCUGAUCGUGGCAGCCAAGAUUGAAUAGAGGAAUACAUGG
rnacentral:snoRNA from 1 species